AGAAGUCCUGCAAGUGUGAGUUGGACAUACAGGUGCGAGCAGAGGACAGGAGAAGGUCAUGGGCAAAGCGCAGAGACAGAGAAGGGGCAUAUCUAUGAAUCAGGGAAGAAAUGUUAGAGGGGCUAGAAUUGUUUAGUGCUUUAUAGGUAUGGGUUAGCACUUUGAAUUGACUCCCAUAGGAUACAGGAAGCCAAUGUAAGGACUGACAGAGGAGUGAGGUGUGAGAGGAGCGACAGGAGAGGAAAAUAAGUCUGGCAGCA